AUACUCUAAACUGUUGCCUGCGAAAGAGGAACUGGGGACUUAGACUAAUUCAGGCUGCUUUCAUUCAAAUGUUCCAGAGGGCACACACACAUCCAAACAGACUUCUCUUUGCUUUUCAGAGCUUAUAAGGAGCAGGCAUCUGAAGCUGCACUCUGAAGCUGUAAGUGGUAACUGACAUUUUAAGUAACAUUUUAAGUAAUAGAAGGUGUUUUUCUGUUUUUCUGCAAAGGGAUUACUCUUUAGGAAGAUGAAAGAGAAACCAUACUUUGCAUGAACAUAGUCCUGCUUCUUUGGCAAAACAAGGCUUUCAUUCUAUGUUCCAGCUAUUCCAGAGAUGUUCCUGAACAAGUUACCUGUUGGUGAAAGCUUCAAAAGGGAUACUUAAGUGACCAAUCCUAUUCAUACUGUGGGCCAGGAGAGGAAAAUCAAUAUCUGUUGGAGAAUCUGAAGAGCCAAAUCUCCUGAGCCUAGGCCUACUGCUGUCAGCAUCUCUGAGACCUCUCUCACCUGAG
rnacentral:lncRNA from 1 species